GUGGUCGUAGUUCAGUUGGUAGAACCCGAGGUUGUGAUCCUCGAUGUCACGGAUUCGAAUUCCGUCGGCCACCCCA
rnacentral:tRNA from 3 species